rnacentral:rRNA from 1 species
AGUCUGCAACCCGACUACAUGAAGCUGGAAUCGCUAGUAAUCGCGGAUCAGAAUGCCGCGGUGAAUACGUUCCCGGGUCUUGUACACACCGCCCGUCACACCAUGGGAGUCGGAAAUGCCCGAAGUCUGUGACCCAACCGCGAGGAGGGAGCAGCCGAAGGCAGGUCGGAUGACUGGGGUGAAGUCGUAACAAGGUAUC